GGACUACCCGGGUAUCUAAUCCUGUUUGAUCCCCACGCUUUCGUGCCUCAGCGUCAAUUACUGUGUAGUGAGCUGCCUUCGCAAUUGGUGUUCUAUGUCAUCUCUAAGCAUUUCACCGCUACAUGACAUAUUCCGCUCACCUCCACAGUAUUCAAGACAAAUAGUAUCCAUGGCAGUUUCUGAGUUAAGCUCAGAGAUUUCACCACGGACUUACUUACCCACCUACGCACCCUUUAAACCCAGUGAAUCCGGAUAACGCUUGCACCCUCCGUAUUACCGCGGCGGCUGGCAC
rnacentral:rRNA from 2 species